UCUUUCUGAAAUCUGUUAAAAUCAAUUGAUUGCUCCUACAUGUGCAAUGUUCUACAUCUGCUACUAUGCUUCACAACUUAAGAUGAUUAGAAAAUGAGAUGGAGUACUUAUCAUGGGUACAUACAAAUCACCUGAAGUUGUGAGUGAAUAGAGAUCUCAGAUUGAAUCACCUGUUUACAGUAAAGAGAGAUCUGAAUUUGAUUUUGGAACUUUGUUUCUGUAAAAAUCAAACUUGAAGUUUAUGAGUGAAGAGAAAUCUCUGAUU